rnacentral:rRNA from 1 species
AGAGUUUGAUCCUGGCUCAGAACGAACGCUGGCGGCGCGUCUUAAGCAUGCAAGUCGAACGGUAAGGGAGAGCUUGCUCUCCCCUAGAGUGGCGGACUGGUGAGUAACGCGUGGGUGACCUGCCCUGAAGAUGGGGAUAGCUAGUAGAAAUAUUAGAUAAUACCGAAUGUGCUCAUUUACAUAAAGGUAAAUGAGGAAAGGAGCUACGGCUCCGCUUCAGGAUGGGCCCGCGUCCCAUUAGCUGGUUGGUGAGGUAAAGGCUCACCAAGGCAACGAUGGGUAUCCGGCCUGAGAGGGUGAACGGACACAUUGGGACUGAGAUACGGCCCAAACUCCUACGGGAGGCAGCAGCUAAGAAUCUUCCGCAAUGGACGAAAGUCUGACGGAGCGACGCCGUGUGAAUGAAGAAGGCCGAAAGGUUGUAAAAUUCUUUUGCAGAUGAAGAAUAAGGAGAAGAGGGAAUGCUUCUCUGAUGACGGUAAUCAUGCGAAUAAGCCCCGGCUAAUUACGUGCCAGCAGCCGCGGUAACACGUAAGGGGCGAGCGUUGUUCGGAAUUAUUGGGCGUAAAGGGUAUGUAGGCGGUUAGGUAAGCCUGGUGUGAAAUCUACGAGCUCAACUCGUAAACUGCAUUGGGUACUGCUUGACUUGAAUCACGGAGGGGAAACCGGAAUUCCAAGUGUAGGGGUGGAAUCUGUAGAUAUUUGGAAGAACACCGGUGGCGAAGGCGGGUUUCUGGCCGAUAAUUGACGCUGAGAUGCGAAAGUGUGGGGAUCGAACAGGAUUAGAUACCCUGGUAGUCCACACCGU